CUAAUACAUGCGCAAAUAUCCUUUUUCGCAAGGAAGAGGAUAGUGUUUAUUAGAUACAGAACCAAUACACCAGUGUCACAGCUGGUGUGAAAAAGGUGAUUCAUAGUAACCGAACGGAUCGCAUUAUGGUCAUUCUUUUGUAAUGGCUGGCGAUAGAUCAUUCAAGUUUCUGACCUAUCAGCUGUCGACGGUAGUGUAUUGGACUACCGUGGCAGUGACGGGUAACGGGGAAUUAGGGUUCGAUUCCGGAGAGGGAGCCUGAGAAACGGCUACCACAUCUAAGGAAGGCAGCAGGCGCGCAAAUUACCCAAUCCCGACUCAGGGAGGUAGUGACAAGAAAUAACAACACUGGAAAUUUUAUUUCUAGUGAUUGGAAUGAUGGGAAUUUAAACCCCUUUCAGAGUACCAAUUGGAGGGCAAGUCUGGUGCCAGCAGCCGCGGUAAUUCCAGCUCCAAUAGCGUAUAUUAAAGUUGUUGCAGUUAAAAAGCUCGUAGUUGGAUGUCUGCUGGAAGCAAUCAGUCCGCCCUAUUUGUAGGGUGUGCACUUGAUGAAUUCUGGCAUUUUUGUCCCAAUGAUGUAACGG
rnacentral:rRNA from 1 species